ensembl:lncRNA
GUUGGUGUUAAAAUGUGGCAAAACUGAAAGAUGAGAAAGAGUGAGCAUCAAGAUUAAUAAGAAUAAUAUUUUUGGUUCCUCGAAGGACAUUAAGAUACAUUGUAGAAUGAGGGACAAGUUGUAAGAUGUUUUUGUAGAUGUUUUUCUUUCUUUUUUUGGGAGAUAAAAUAGUGGUUCUUAAGAUGCAAAAUGUUGCAAUAUGUAUUGUGUGUAGUAGUGGUAAUUACUGUUCAAGUGCUAGGUGUUCUGUAUGGUUUUCAGUGCUGAUUCAGUUAUUACAGAUUAUUAUUAGUUCUAGUUACUAGUCCUGGACCCUCAACUCUCUGGUUUGUAUCUCUUCUUCAAUUGCAUCUAUGGGAUUUUUUUGCAUGCUUUGUUUAUCCAGCAGGUGAAAAAUCAUUAGUCCAGUCACUUACAACACUAAUAUUGAUGCUUGACUUAGAAAAUGCAACAAAUUAAGUGUAAAAUCUCUGAUUUUCGUCUUUCAAAAGCUUGAGAGAGUCGAUAGUGAUUGUAUUUGUAACAAACUGGCUGCAUGUGCAAGAGUCUUUGUUUUCUUUACAUCUGUAAGUUAUGCUCAGCAUAAUGCAUUGCUUUACAUUUCUUUAACCAGAAUGACUGUGUUUCUAAGAUAUUAGUUGCUUGACAGCUUUGACACGACCAGCUGAGCUUCAUUUGCAACAUGGAAAACCCUCAGCCACUAGGUAUGCACCCUUCAGUCAAUGCAUGGGGUUUGCAGUGUUCUUCUGGGGUCAUUCAGAAACAAGGGCCUGAAUGUGAUUCUCUCUCUUGACAUGUAAAUAAAAUCUAUCAUCUUUUUGCCCAGAGCACCUUCUUCAGCAUGUCUUCAGCCAAAAUAUGUGAUUUGCUGUUCCCAGUCUGUGGUUUGCAAACUCUUUAUUGGGAAUUCCUAUUAUUAAGCAUAUUUUAAGCAAUGCGAUUGUUUAAUAAUGCAAUGCAAUGCAAAUAUUGAAUCACCCUCAUUGCAUUGCCGGUUAAACCCAUGUAGUAUGGAUUUUCUUUUCAUUUAUCUUCUGUAGAUUUACUUGUGGUUUUUGAGUGUGAGGGUGUCAUACAACACAUCCAUGUUGACAUCUGUCUGUUCCAGUGAGUGUCAAGUGACAGAUGAAUUCUGUGCAAGAAAACUGUUUGAUUCGAGUCUGAUAGGACAAAUGAUUUUUGACAUUGACAGCAAAUGACAGCAAGUGUUUCUCCUCUGCUUUAAAAGUUUACAUUUAUUUUGCCAACGUAAUUAUAUGGUUAGUUUCAUUUUAUUAUUUGUUUAGUUGUUCCCUGCUGACUUCAGGUGGGAUGAUUUCAGUCAAUCAGGAUCAGCUGGCAGGAAAGGUUACAAGAAGCCUUGCCAUUCCUAUUAGAUCAAUUCCAUCAGGACCGAACACCAGCAGGUGGCAGAUCUCGAAUAUGAAUCGAAGAGCCUUUUUUAUAUUUGUGCUCGAAAUUUGCUAUAAAGUGGUUUAGGUUAAGAGAAAAAGCAUUUUUGGAACCUUUCAGGAAACAGUAUUUAAUAGAACAAUUCUUUUGUUUCUGAACAUUCCAAUUCCUCUACAAAGAACCUUUUGUGUGACUGAAAGGUUUCACAGAUGUUAAAGGUUCUUCAAGGAACCAUAAAUGCCAAUAAAGAAACGUGGAUCAUGCACCUUCUUUAAUAUUAUGAAGCUGCUCGAUCCUCGACAGGGAUUUUCACACCGUGAAACAAAAGGCCGGCACACGCAGACCUCUGGUUUUGUCAUGGCAUGUUGCAUAUGCCUUCCUGUACAGCAGCGUGUUCUUCUCUCUGAAAUCGUCUGAGCGAGGUGCCCUGCGCCUGCGGCUUCCUGCCAGCCGUGGUGAAUGAAUUUCGACAGCUGCACAGCCACAGAUAGUCACAUUGUGUCAUGACAGCGCAGGGGCCAAAGGGAGUGAAGAAUACAGGAGAGGUAGAGCCUCUCGCUGCUGACCUGAGACCUGUCAAAGCCCUUUCAGCCUGCUGUGGCAUCACAUCAACAACAUCUGCUAACAAUCUGCCUACAAUUAGUCAGAUGCCCGGGAAGCUUUCGUCAAGGGACACCUGUUCAUUCUGCCAUGGCAGGAGGAAACGUUCUGGCAGAGGGCCGAGUUAAACACACAAAAUACAGAAAAUAGUGCAAUGUGUCUCAUCUGUUGGAGUGAAAGUCAACAUGACAUCGCAAGUGAUAUUUAAUUUUUCUAUACUGUAGAUAUGCUCCUGGUUUUAGUUUGCACGAUUCAUCUGUGUACAUAAAAUCGCUCAUAAUCUUUCAUCAAAAUGUAAUAGCUUGUAAUAACUUGCAUGAUGUGAUCAAGCCCUUUAAGGCAGGUCAGUCUGAUUGGUGAGCAUCAUGUUAAGCUCUUUCUAGUCUUUUAAGUACAGCUUUUGUCUACUUGAAUGGAAAAGAUUGCAACUUCUUUUUUUUCCUUUUUU